GAGCUGCUCGCAAGCCUGUCUUUUCCCAGGUGGGAGCCAAAAUGCUGGAAGCAGCUGUGUUUGGAGCUUACUUCAAUGUCAUGAUCAACCUCAAAGACAUAACGGAUGAGAAGUUCAAGCUUGUGAUGUCCCAGAAGGUCUCCGGGCUGCUGGAAGAGGCAAAGCAAGGGUCAGCACUCGUGCUGGCACUGCUGGAGAAGCGGGUGGCCUGAGGAGGGCUUGGGAGUGGUCUGGGAGUUCUGCAGUGGCAAAUAAAGCUGGGAAACCCA